UACGGGGGGAGCAAGCGUUGUCCGGAUUUACUGGGCGUAAAGAGCGCGCAGGCGGUCGGAUAAGUCGAGUGUGAAAGCCCCUGGCUCAACCAGGGAGGGUCAUUCGAUACUGUUCGACUCGAAGGCAGGAGAGGGAAGUGGAAUUCCGGGUGUAGUGGUGAAAUGCGUAGAUAUCCGGAGGAACACCAGUGGCGAAGGCGACUUUCUGGCCUGUUCUUGACGCUGAGGCGCGAAAGCUAGGGGAGCAAACGGG
rnacentral:rRNA from 1 species